rnacentral:rRNA from 1 species
UACGUAGGGUGCAAGCGUUGUCCGGAAUUACUGGGCGUAAAGAGUUCGUAGGCGGUUUGUCGCGUCGUUUGUGAAAACCAGCAGCUCAACUGCUGGCUUGCAGGCGAUACGGCAGACUUGAGUGACUGCAGGGGAGACUGGAAUUCCUGGUGUAGCGGUGAAAUGCGCAGAUAUCAGGAGGAACACCAGUGCGAAGGCGGCU